GACAGAGGGUGCAAACGUUGUUCGGAAUUACUGGGCGUAAAGCGCGUGUAGGCGGCUGCGCAAGUCGGAUGUGAAAUCCCAUGGCUCAACCAUGGAAGUGCACCCGAAACUGCGUAGCUAGAGUCUCGGAGAGGAAGGCGGAAUGCUUGGUGUAGAGGUGAAAUUCGUAGAUAUCAAGCGGAACACCGGUGGCGAAGGCGGCCUUCUGGACGAUGACUGACGCUGAGACGCGAAAGCGUGAGGAGCAAACAGG
rnacentral:rRNA from 1 species